GGAGGUUGGCUUAGAAGCAGCCAUCCUUGAAAGAGUGCGUAAUAGCUCACUGGUCAAGUGAUCGUGCGCCGACAAUGUAGCGGGGCUCAAGCACACCGCCGAAGCCGCGGACCCAUAACAGUGUUCCCUUCACCGUCCCACAUCGCUGGGGUGGUGGCAGGGGUUGUGGGUGGUAGGGGAGCGUCCUGCACCGGGGGAAGCCUGUGGGUGACUGCUGGUGGACGGUGCGGGAGUGAGAAUGCAGGCAUGAGUAGCGAUACUAGGGUGAGAAGCCCUAGCGCCGAAUGACCAAGGGUUCCAGGGCCAGGCUAGUCCGCCCUGGGUGAGUCGGGACCUAAGGCGAGGCCGACAGGCGUAGUCGAUGGAUGACGGGUUGAUAUUCCCGUACCGGCGAAGCACCGCCCAUGCUGACGCGCGGGUGCUAACCCACGCCCGGCCGCCAUGUAGGCCGCAUGUGUCAGGUUCGCCUGACGGUGUGGUUGUGGUGGUGGGGUCUGGGGAUCCUCCGUGCAGGUAGGCAAGCGUGUUAACAGGGGUGACGCACAGUGGUAGCCCGGCGGACCUGAUGGCUUGGUCCGUUCAAGCGCGCAGCCCGUCCUCCAGGUAAAUCCGGGGUGACUGUCUUUGAUGACGGGGGUGAGGCGUGAUGGUGACCCCACUCUGGUGGGGGAUAGCAGGGUGAUCCUGGGGUGCCGAGAAAAGCCUCGACGCGAUGGUGCCAGCCGCCCGUACCCUAAACCGACACAGGUGGUCGGGCAGAGUAUGCCUAGGCGCACGAGUGAAUCAUGGUUAAGGAACUCGGCAAAAUGCCCCCGUAACUUCGGGAGAAGGGGGGCCUGAGCUUUGAAGCCCCUUCGCGGGCUAGGAGCAAGGGUCGCAGAGAACAGGGGGGAGCGACUGUUUACUAAAAACACAGGUCCGUGCGAAGCCGUAAGGCGAUGUAUACGGACUGACGCCUGCCCGGUGCUGGAAGGUUAAGAGGAACCAUCAACCCUCGGGUGAAGUGGUGAAUUUAAGCCCCAGUAAACGGCGGUGGUAACUAUAACCAUCCUAAGGUAGCGAAAUUCCUUGUCGGGUAAGUUCCGACCUGCACGAAUGGCGUAACGACUUCCCUACUGUCUCAACCAUGAGCUCGGCGAAAUUGCACUACGAGUAAAGAUGCUCGUUUCGCGCAGAAGGACGGAAAGACCCCGGGACCUUUACUACAGCUUGGUAUUGGCGCCCGCUAUAGCUUGUGCAGGAUAGGUGGGAGACUGUGAAGCCGUUACGCCAGUAGCGGUGGAGUCGUCCUUGAAAUACCACUCUGGUUAUGGCGUGCGCCUGAACCUGGGCCCGUGAUCCGGGUUAGGGACAGUGCCUGGUGGGUAGUUUAACUGGGGCGGUUGCCUCCUAAAGUGUAACGGAGGCGCUCAAAGGUUCCCUCAGCCUGGUCGGCAACCAGGUGUUGAGUGCAAGUGCACAAGGGAGCUUGACUGUGAGACCGACGGGUCGAGCAGGUACGAAAGUAGGAACUAGUGAUCCGGCGAUCCCGUGUGGGUGGGUCGUCGCUCAACGGAUAAAAGGUACCCCGGGGAUAACAGGCUGAUCCUGCCCAAGAGUCCAUAUCGACGGCAUGGUUUGGCACCUCGAUGUCGGCUCGUCGCAUCCUGGGGCUGGAGCAGGUCCCAAGGGUUGGGCUGUUCGCCCAUUAAAGCGGUACGCGAGCUGGGUUUAGAACGUCGUGAGACAGUUCGGUCCCUAUCCUCUGCGCGCGCAGGAGACUUGAGAAGGCCUGUCCCUAGUACGAGAGGACCGGGACGGACGAACCUCUGGUGUGCCAGUUGUCCCGCCCGGGGCACGGCUGGUUGGCUACGUUCGGGACGGGUAACCGCUGAAAGCAUCUAAGCGGGAAACCAUCUUCAAGAUAAGGUCUCCGCAGGACACCUCGGUGUCCUGGUAGGCCCCCAGCAGACUACUGGGUUGAUAGGCCAGAAGUGGAAGACCGGUAACGGUUGGGAGCUGACUGGUACUAAUCGGCCGACACAAACAAC
rnacentral:rRNA from 1 species